AACCAGAUAGGGGAGAGCGUCCGCACACCGUGAGAGCUCAAUAAAAACAACCGAUCGGAAUGGGCGAUGGAGGAGGCUUGAAGCCAAAGGUGUAUUCAGGAUUAAGCCAGAGGAAAUGAAACAAGCAGCACAGACUCCCGGAGCAGAAACACAACCCCCUCCCCGGCGAUAAAGGUGGGAACCCCAAAGAGGCAUCUGAAUGAUUUCUCUUACCGCUGCUUCUCCGUAGCAAGAAACCUCUUCGAGAAGGUGUCGGCCCAAAAGAGAGAUUCAGAGAAGGCCGGUCUUCUGCCGGAACACAGUCACGAGAGGGUGGUGCCGAAAACACCUCGUUUUUCUGCAACGUGUGAAGAGUUCACGUAAUAGAUUCUGCACCCAAAAACGCUAGACCGGGUGGGCUAACGUAUCUGCGGAUUCUCUUUUACUCUCCCAAGUGCUCUGCACGUAGUCAGCGCCCAAUAAAUACCACUGAUUGACUAAUCCCGCCCCUGGGCCUCUCGGGGUGGACUGGACUCAUGCAGAGGGAACGGGUUACCAACUUCUCUGGGCUUCAGUUCCCUCAUCUGUAAAACGGGGAUUAAAACCGUGAGCCCCA